rnacentral:rRNA from 1 species
UACAGAGGGUGCGAGCGUUAAUCGGAAUUACUGGCGUAAAGCGCGCGUAGGCGGCUUUGCAAGUCGGGUGUGAAAUCCCCAGGCUUAACCUGGGAACUGCAUUCGAGACUGCAUUGCUAGAGUAUGGGAGAGGGAAGUGGAAUUUCCGGUGUAGCGGUGAAAUGCGUAGAUAUCGGAAGGAACACCGAUGGACGAAGGCAGCCCCUGGGCUAACACUGACGCUGAUGCACGAAAGCGUGGGGAGCAAACAGG